AUUGAACGCUGGCGGCAUGCUUUACACAUGCAAGUCGAACGGCAGCGCGGGCUUCGGCCUGGCGGCGAGUGGCGAACGGGUGAGUAAUGCAUCGGAACGUGCCCAGUAGUGGGGGAUAGCCCGGAGAAAGCCGGAUUAAUACCGCAUACGACCUGAGGGUGAAAGCGGGGGACCGAAAGGCCUCGCGCUAUUGGAGCGGCCGAUGUCGGAUUAGCUAGUUGGUGGGGUAAAGGCUUACCAAGGCGACGAUCCGUAGCUGGUCUGAGAGGACGACCAGCCACACUGGGACUGAGACACGGCCCAGACUCCUACGGGAGGCAGCAGUGGGGAAUUUUGGACAAUGGGGGCAACCCUGAUCCAGCCAUGCCGCGUGCGGGAAGAAGGCCUUCGGGUUGUAAACCGCUUUUGUUCGGGAAGAAAUCCUCUGGGCUAAUACCCCGGGGGGAUGACGGUACCGGAAGAAUAAGCACCGGCUAACUACGUG
rnacentral:rRNA from 1 species